UACGGAGGGUGCAAGCGUUAUCCGGAUUCACUGGGUUUAAAGGGUGCGUAGGUGGGCUGGUAAGUCAGUGGUGAAAUCUCCGAGCUUAACUCGGAAACUGCCAUUGAUACUAUCAGUCUUGAAUUUUCUGGAGGUAAGCGGAAUAUGUCAUGUAGCGGUGAAAUGCUUAGAUAUGACAUAGAACACCCAUUGCGAAGGCAGCUUACUACGGGAUAAUUGACACUGAGGCACGAAAGCGUGGGGGAUCAAAACAGG
rnacentral:rRNA from 1 species